CCUGGCAACCCUGAAGGUGUGACGUCACGAGCUGCUACAAGCGGGCUCACUCCAUUUAAACAAAACUACUUCGGGGGGAGUUUUCGUAUAACUACGUGUGAAAAUUCAAUAUUUCACUAAAAUAGUUACAUUUACGAUAUAUUUUUUACAUUUUUAAAUUUAUAUAUUACGACAUUUUUAACAGUUUCCCGCUGCUAGCGUCUGUAUGCUAACGCUAGCUAGCUUGUGUUUGCUAGCGAGGUCUAGUUCGACGGGAGACAGAAGAACGGCGGGUCGUUCCUCGAAAACGUUCCAAACUUUAGGAGGCGGGGCUUGAGCUCAUUUCCUGUCAGAGUUAACGAGGUGAGUCGUUUUGUCGGCCGAUUGGUGGUUGUGUUUUGGGGUCCUCACACUUUGUGCAGCCUUUGCCGAUAAACCAGCAGUGACACGACGGCCACCAUCAUUCCGAUGAGGAACAUUCCAGCGCUCAGGCCCUCCACCACGCCACCUAGAGGCUCUGAUGGAGAUGUGCGUUAGGCCACCGACAACUGAACCCGUUCUGGAGGUGGAAGGUUACGGCUCUCACCGGCAUGAGUCCUCAACGGCGCGGACAGGUACGUGUCCGAGAAGAGCGGCUGAGCGACCUCCCUGUGGUUCUGGUCAAACAGUUCGGUGAAGGCUCGCACGCUCAGCCUGGGCGGACACACAGAAACGGUCAGACAGGGUCGGGCUCUGCGGUCCUCAGCACUGCAGCCGUCGGUAGUAGAUUCCUUCACCUGUAGGAGGUCUUUGGUCUCAGCGGACCAUCGCAGAAUUCACCGUAGCUGUCGCUCAGGUAGAGGUCGUCGUCAUGGUAACGGUCGCAGGCUCCGCCUAGCCGGUCCCCUCCUGCACCCAGGUGCAACUCCACCACCUCAUUGGGUCAAUUUUUUUACCCAAACAGUUAUUUUCCGUCAGAGAAUAAAACAACAUUUAGUUGAAAAGAGUGAAAUCGGUUUGAGAGGUUUUCUAUGAAGGUGUGUAGAUCAUCUACCUGUCCCGCUGUGGAGUCGGCGUCCAGUGGACAGCGGCUCUGGAAGUAGGAGGUCUGAUACGCGCUGAUGGAGGAGUUGCUGAUGUAGUCGCGGUAGGAGGGCAGAGGGUGGCGCUGCUCCGGCUGCAGCACUUCGGAGGCUGUUGGAGGAAACAGAUGGAGGUUCUGGUUCCUUCUGUUCAUGAGUGAAACCUUCAAGUUAAAGCGUUAAACGAGCACAUUGCUUUGUUAUCUUUGUGGAGCAAAAGUACGUGAGAUUUCAUAAAUAUUUCAUUAUAUGAAAAUCACAGAAAAAAUCAUCACAUUUUGCUAUAAGUUUUGAAAAACAGUUUUUUCAUUUACGUUUUUUUCCUGCAAACAUUUUUUUUUUUAUUCAAUUCUUUGGCUAAUUUUUUUAUUGUUUUCUAGAUUCCCCUUGGUUGUGUGAGUCUCUUUAGAUCACUUUUGUGUGUUUGAAUAUUUCAUGUGUGUGAGGCUCCAUACUGUCGGACUCGGCCACGAUCACGGUGAAGUAUCGGAUGGCGCCGUUGGAGUCGCUGAACCAAGAACAGUUGAAGCGGAACAGGAUGGAGGAGGACGUCACUUUGGAGGACUUUUCAUUGACCCGCACGGUGGGGGGCGGGACCGGAGGACCUGUGGAGAACAUCAUUGGAUAUAGUGGUUUGUCCAGAUCAAUCUGAAUGACUCACGAUCGAUCAUGGUGACGGUGGUGUGGGUCGUCGGUGGGCUCGUCUGCCCGGCUGAAGACACUCUGACGGUCACAGAGUAUUUCCUGAAGGCCUCCAGAUUUCCCAGCGUUACCGCGGUGACGCCCCGCGCCAGCUUCAGGACCGACACCAGACUCCCGUCGUCGUAGCGACGGCUCUCCACCUCAUAGGAGUCGAAGUCGGCAGCAGGAGCAGUCCAGGAGCAGGAGAGGGAGGAGGAGGAGAGGGGCAAGCAGUGGAGGGACUUCAGAGGAGUCGGACCUGGAGGAAGAGGAGGGAGGAAGGUUUGACUGACCCUAUAUGGAGCCAAAUCGGGACCAAAAUCUGAGAAUUUCAGCUUCAAAAUGUUUUUCCUUUUUUUCAGUGUCAACAUUUUUUUUUCCAAAUUUUGCAUCUGAAAAUUUUAGGCUUAAAAACUUUUGACCCUGUUCUGGCAUGUGGGGGGCGGGGCUAACACGAAGGACCAAUCAAAAUCGAUGAGGGUGGUAACCUCAGUCCUGAAACUUAAAAAAAAGAAAAUUUGAAGCUGAAAAUAAUUACAUUUAUAUUAGAGUUACGGAAUAUUUCAGAACUUUUUUUUUUUUUUUUUUUAUCUUAACACCAAUACUUCAGCUUGAAGUUGUUUUAUUUGAGUUUCAAAUCUUUAUGGCCCUAAUUUGGCUCCAUAGUUCUACUGCUUUAAUCUGUUUUUUUUUUAUGGAAACAGUUUCUCUUUAUUCAGUUGUUUGCUUGUGGGUUUACAGUAGAAUGAUGCUGACUCCAGGAAUCAGUUUAAACUCUUCUCAUCCUCUGUAGCUCGUUUCCAGCAUUGGUUUAAAUCAAUCCUGUUCUGGUUUUUACGAUACUCAUAAUGUGUUGACCUAAUCUCCGCUCAGAUAGGAACAAACUGGGUCACAUUCAAAGUCACUGAAUGUAUUUAUAUUCCUUUUGAUGAUCAGAUUUGAUCUGUGCAUCCAAAACAUCACAGACAGACGGACCCUGAUGGAAAAUGGAUCCUCCACUGGAGAUUUAACCUAAAAAUUCUCCUCUUUGCUCUGCUGCCAUCUGGUGGAUAGAAACAGCAGCUGAACAACAGCUGCGAGCCUGGAAUUAGUUUAUAUUAAGAUGUUUAUUUUAAAAAGUCAAAUAUAGACUUCAAAAAAGGAAAAAUUUGUGUAGUUUUACUGUUAGCUGAGCUAUAAUAAAUGAUGCUAAAUUAAAAUAGAGCCUUUUUAAUCAAA